UACGUAGGGUCCAAGCGUUGUCCGGAAUUAUUGGGCGUAAAGAGCGCGUAGGCGGCCCGGAAGUCGGAUGUGAAAACCCGGGGCUCAACCCCGGGCCUGCAUCCGAUACUCCCGGGCUGGAGGCAGGUAGGGGAGAUCGGGAAUUCCAGGUGUAGCGGUGAAAUGCGUAGAUAUCUGGAGGAACACCGGUGGCGAAGGCGGCAUCCUGGACCGGUAUGACGCUGAUGCGCGAAAGCCAGGGGA
rnacentral:rRNA from 1 species